ACAAUAACGUCCCUUCGUUAUUCGUUUUAAUUCAGAUUGACAUGCUUAAGGGAGCACGCCACUUUGAUAUAGUUUAAAUUAACCCUUAACUGAUACGAUGGGGGUCUAUCUCCUGUAAUUUUAUUUUUUUUAAUACAAUUUAAAUAAGCAAUAAUCUCAUAUUAUCAAUUAAACUUUAAGUUCAACAAUUUGUUCACACUACUUAUCUUUUUGCAGAUUUUCCAUUGUGUACAGAAAACAUUAAUAACUUGGUGUAUCAUGAUUGUUAAAAAUCCUUUUUACACAACAUGUGGCUAACAUGUAAGAUCGCCCGCAUCCAAGUAAUCUGAUCCAUGGACCCCGACGACCUUCAACACGAUGCAGAUACAGAUCGCACGAACAUGUUAAUACAUCGAUAGAAAUGAAAUAAUUUUCUGAACGAUGAAAUGAUUAUACCCAUGAUUUAAUGAAGAUGGAAUCUUAAGCCAUCAACUACUAGAAGCACGUUAUUGCUGGAGAAAAAUAUCCUUCUCAGCGGAAUAACUUGAUAAACUGUUAAAUCUCGGAGAACGUGAGGCACGUUUUCCAGGUAAAAGAGGUAACACGACUAGCGACGUGCCUUAAACGGAAAAAAAAAUGUUUGGUAAAGCAAUUAAUGUCAUUCCGUUAAAUCGUUCUAGGAAUUGAAGUGUACAGAAACGGAAAGGUAGGCGUAGGCGUGAAAGAAGUACCUAGCACGAAAUACACAGGGCAAGAAGAAGGGAGAUAAGAAGCCGAAUAAAAAGGGAGAGAAGGUCAAAGUCA